GAUGAACGCUGGCGGCGUGCUUAACACAUGCAAGUCGAACGGAAAGGCCCUGCUUUUGUGGGGUGCUCGAGUGGCGAACGGGUGAGUAACACGUGAGUACCUGCCCUUGACUUUGGGAUAACUUCAGGAAACUGGGGCUAAUACCGGAUAGGAGCUCCUGCUGCAUGGUGGGGGUUGGAAAGUUUCGGCGGUUGGGGAUGGACUCGCGGCUUAUCAGCUUGUUGGUGGGGUAGUGGCUUACCAAGGCUUUGACGGGUAGCCGGCCUGAGAGGGUGACCGGCGACAAUGCGACUGCGAGAGGGACCAGUCGGCUACGGGAGGCAGCAGUGGAGAAUAUGACGGAACGGGCGGAAGUCUGAUGCAGCAACCCCGCGUGCGGGAUGACGUGUUUCGGGUUGUGAACCUCUGUCGCCUGUGACGAAGCGAGCGUGACGGUACUGGGUAAAGAAGCACCGGCUAACUACGUG
rnacentral:rRNA from 1 species